rnacentral:rRNA from 1 species
GUGUAGUUAAUAGCUGCAUUAUUUGACGUUAGCGACAGAAGAAGCACCGGCUAACUCCGUGCCAGCAGCCGCGGUAAUACGGAGGGUGCGAGCGUUAAUCGGAAUUACUGGGCGUAAAGCGCAUGCAGGUGGUUUGUUAAGUCAGAUGUGAAAGCCCGGGGCUCAACCUCGGAAUAGCAUUUGAAACUGGCAGACUAGAGUACUGUAGAGGGGGGUAGAAUUUCAGGUGUAGCGGUGAAAUGCGUAGAGAUCUGAAGGAAUACCGGUGGCGAAGGCGGCCCCCUGGACAGAUACUGACACUCAGAUGCGAAAGCGUGGGGAGCAAACAGGAUUAGAUACCCUGGUAGUCCACGCCGUAAACGAUGUCUACUUGGAGGUUGUGGCCUUGAGCCGUGGCUUUCGGAGCUAACGCGUUAAGUAGACCGCCUGGGGAGUACGGUCGCAAGAUUAAAACUCAAAUGAAUUGACGGGGGCCCGCACAAGCGGUGGAGCAUGUGGUUUAAUUCGAUGCAACGCGAAGAACCUUACCUACUCUUGACAUCCAGAGAACUUUCCAGAGAUGGAUUGGUGCCUUCGGGAACUCUGAGACAGGUGCUGCAUGGCUGUCGUCAGCUCGUGUUGUGAAAUGUUGGGUUAAGUCCCGCAACGAGCGCAACCCUUAUCCUUGUUUGCCAGCGAGUAAUGUCGGGAACUCCAGGGAGACUGCCGGUGAUAAACCGGAGGAAGGUGGGGACGACGUCAAGUCAUCAUGGCCCUUACGAGUAGGGCUACACACGUGCUACAAUGGCGCAUACAGAGGGCGGCCAACUUGCGAAAGUGAGCGAAUCCCAAAAAGUGCGUCGUAGUCCGGAUUGGAGUCUGCAACUCGACUCCAUGAAGUCGGAAUCGCUAGUAAUCGUGGAUCAGAAUGCCACGGUGAAUACGUUCCCGGGCCUUGUACACACCGCCCGUCACACCAUGGGAGUGGGCUGCAAAAGAAGUAGGUAGUUUAACCUUCGGGGGGACGCUUACCACUUUGUGGUUCAUGACUGGGGUGAAGUCGUAACAAGGUAGCGCUAGGGGAACCUGGCGCUGGAUCACCUCCUUA